ACGGGAGACACACGGCGGGUGCUAACGUCCGUCGUGAAGAGGGAAACAACCCAGACCGCCAGCUAAGGUCCCAAAGUCAUGGUUAAGUGGGAAACGAUGUGGGAAGGCCCAGACAGCCAGGAUGUUGGCUUAGAAGCAGCCAUCAUUUAAAGAAAGCGUAAUAGCUCACUGGUCGAGUCGGCCUGCGCGGAAGAUGUAACGGGGCUAAACCAUGCACCGAAGCUGCGGCAGCGACGCUGAUGCGUUGUUGGGUAGGGGAGCGUUCUGUAAGCCUGCGAAGGUGUGCUGUGAGGCAUGCUGGAGGUAUCAGAAGUGCGAAUGCUGACAUAAGUAACGAUAAAGCGGGUGAAAAGCCCGCUCGCCGGAAGACCAAGGGUUCCUGUCCAACGUUAAUCGGGGCAGGGUGAGUCGACCCCUAAGGCGAGGCCGAAAGGCGUAGUCGAUGGGAAACAGGUUAAUAUUCCUGUACUUGGUGUUACUGCGAAGGGGGGACGGAGAAGGCUAUGUUGGCCGGGCGACGGUUGUCCCGGUUUAAGCGUGUAGGCUGGUUUUCCAGGCAAAUCCGGAAAAUCAAGGCUGAGGCGUGAUGACGAGGCACUACGGUGCUGAAGCAACAAAUGCCCUGCUUCCAGGAAAAGCCUCUAAGCAUCAGGUAACAUCAAAUCGUACCCCAAACCGACACAGGUGGUCAGGUAGAGAAUACCAAGGCGCUUGAGAGAACUCGGGUGAAGGAACUAGGCAAAAUGGUGCCGUAACUUCGGGAGAAGGCACGCUGAUAUGUAGGUGAAGUCCCUCGCGGAUGGAGCUGAAAUCAGUCGAAGAUACCAGCUGGCUGCAACUGUUUAUUAAAAACACAGCACUGUGCAAACACGAAAGUGGACGUAUACGGUGUGACGCCUGCCCGGUGCCGGAAGGUUAAUUGAUGGGGUUAGCGCAAGCGAAGCUCUUGAUCGAAGCCCCGGUAAACGGCGGCCGUAACUAUAACGGUCCUAAGGUAGCGAAAUUCCUUGUCGGGUAAGUUCCGACCUGCACGAAUGGCGUAAUGAUGGCCAGGCUGUCUCCACCCGAGACUCAGUGAAAUUGAACUCGCUGUGAAGAUGCAGUGUACCCGCGGCAAGACGGAAAGACCCCGUGAACCUUUACUAUAGCUUGACACUGAACAUUGAGCCUUGAUGUGUAGGAUAGGUGGGAGGCUUUGAAGUGUGGACGCCAGUCUGCAUGGAGCCGACCUUGAAAUACCACCCUUUAAUGUUUGAUGUUCUAACGUGGACCCGUAAUCCGGGUUGCGGACAGUGUCUGGUGGGUAGUUUGACUGGGGCGGUCUCCUCCUAAAGAGUAACGGAGGAGCACGAAGGUUGGCUAAUCCUGGUCGGACAUCAGGAGGUUAGUGCAAUGGCAUAAGCCAGCUUGACUGCGAGCGUGACGGCGCGAGCAGGUGCGAAAGCAGGUCAUAGUGAUCCGGUGGUUCUGAAUGGAAGGGCCAUCGCUCAACGGAUAAAAGGUACUCCGGGGAUAACAGGCUGAUACCGCCCAAGAGUUCAUAUCGACGGCGGUGUUUGGCACCUCGAUGUCGGCUCAUCACAUCCUGGGGCUGAAGUAGGUCCCAAGGGUAUGGCUGUUCGCCAUUUAAAGUGGUACGCGAGCUGGGUUUAGAACGUCGUGAGACAGUUCGGUCCCUAUCUGCCGUGGGCGCUGGAGAACUGAGGGGG
rnacentral:rRNA from 1 species